rnacentral:tRNA from 1 species
UGGUGUAGUGGUUAGCACGGUGGACUCUGGAUCUGGAGGUUGGUGGUUCGAGUCCACC